CACCAGACGCAUUCUUGAUUUGGGUCACCCACGAACAGAGUCAGACACCCAAACCUUUCUUUCUCUAGCAGCUGACCAAACGCAAAAUCCCGAGCACGGACAGUUUGCUUCGCGGGCGCACUGUGAAAUUUUCUGCGGGAAACGAAGCUGCGAGCUAGUGCGGCAGUGCGGGUUCCUCGAUGGCGUGUUUAUUUUGCUGCCCUGGCUACGUGAAGGGACUCAAGGGCACGACGGCGGCCUGCUCUGGCUCCAGGAUCCGGAGCGACGCGAGCGCCCCGACCGCCUCCUCGCGCGCCGUUGAGCACGCAUCGACACUUCAGACUGCGCCGCGGUGGCGUCGGACAGCAGCGCGGCCACCUCAGCACCGGGCACGGACCCCGCAUCGCAGCAAGGUCCUCGUCAACCUCCGUCUCGGUAGCCGGUGUUGGAGCAGAAGGAAAGAAGACAACAAAGAUUGAGCAAAUAUAAGAGUCUGGCUUCGCCCAAAGUUUCAAAGUUCAAGAUGAAAGUCAAUUAAGGCAAAAAAAAAUGAAAAUAGAAUGAAGACUGAUGAACAAAAGAUGAAGAAUGAAGAUUCAGAAGGAGAAAAAGACCACUUCGCCCUUGUAAGUGAAAAGGGUUGUAAUUAUUCGAGUUAGGGGUAAAAUGGUCAUUUUAUGUAAAACACGAAGAUUGAGGACCUAUAAAUACCCUCUCUGACAUGUACAGUAUAAUCAUGAAAUGAAUAUGACUUUAUCUUGUGUUC